AUUACGAGGCCUGGGAGCAGCCAUUUCAUGUCCUGGAGAGUAUAUAUCGAGAUUGUUGGAGAUAUUUCAACAUCGAAGACAAUCCCGUAGGGUGGGAAUUUUUAUUUGGAUACAUGGGAAAGUUCAAGCAUUCUCUUCGGGAGUGGAGACAUGAGAUAAAGAAGAAAUGCUUUGAUUGUUUCACUCACAACUGGGAGAGGAUAUACAAGCGAGAUAAGAGGGUUGAGCCUGAGCACUUAGCUGCACUUAUAAUAUUGUGGGGCCAAGAGGAGCACCAGGAAAAAUGUAGGAGAAAUAAACUUAAUCGAUGGAAAAAAGAUUAUGAUCAUCAUACGGGGACUACUUCAUUUGCCCAGAUUGAGGAUCA